rnacentral:pre_miRNA from 1 species
GGGGGGUGUGACCCCAUGCUCCCUGGGGGUGUGAUCCCGUGCUUCCUGGGGGGUGUGACCCCGUGCUCCCU